GCAGAUAAAAUUUCUUCAUUUUUAGUAGUUAAACUUAAAAAUGAGCUUCUCUUUCUGUCGUCACUGGCUAGAGCCUCCAUCAUCGCUGGCCAGAGGAGUUUGCCAUCGUCACCGUCCAGAGCCUCCAUCGUUGCUGGCCAGAGCCUCCAUCGUCACUGGCCACAGCCUCCAUCGUUGUCGGCAUACCUGGUCUUUCUCUGAGCUCUAGUGAUGGUUAUUUGGAGCAUACAUAUAUCAGCAUAAUCUCAACCUCUUUGAUGAGUGAAAUUCCUAGUAACGACUUAUGAAGGAUAUACAUCUAAGGCUUUUGGUUGUGCUUGGAGUCCAAAACAGUCUUUUCUUGUAUCUGUGUAACGAGGAUCAACAUCCAGCGCACUAUUGAUCAAGUCCAGCACUCUAGAGUUAGUUGGUGAGCCUCCUUGCAUUCCGAAAGACACUUUUAGUGCUUUCUAAUUUUGUUCAUUAGAAUGUGGUGGGGAUUUUCACAACAUCCAUCUCAAUUGUUUAGAGACUUUAUAGAUAUUCAGAUAGUUAGUUAUGAGUCUUUUUUUUAUAUUUCAGAUGUUUUGCUAUGAGACUUGAGUAACCAUUUUGGCCAGUUGAAUGCUUUAUUUAAAGACAUUCUCAGUUUAUUUCACAAGUUCUUUAUGUA